rnacentral:rRNA from 1 species
GACGAACGCUGGCGGCGUGCUUAACACAUGCAAGUCGAACGGAAAGGCCCUGCUUGCAGGGUACUCGAGUGGCGAACGGGUGAGUAACACGUGGGUGAUCUGCCCUGCACUUCGGGAUAAGCCUGGGCAACAGGGUCUAAUACCGGAUAGGAGCCAUUUUGAGUGUGAUGGUUGGAAAGUUUUUUCGGUGUAGGAUGAGCUCGCGGCCUAUCAGCUUGUUGGUGGGGUAAUGGCCUACCAAGGCGGCGACGGGUAGCCGGCCUGAGAGGGUGGACGGCCACAUUGGGACUGAGAUACGGCCCAGACUCCUACGGGAGGCAGCAGUGGGGAAUAUUGCACAAUGGGCGCAAGCCUGAUGCAGCGACGCCGCGUGGGGGAUGACGGCCUUCGGGUUGUAAACUCCUUUCGCUAGGGACGAAGCUUUUUGUGACGGUACCUAGAUAAGAAGCACCGGCUAACUACGUG